rnacentral:misc_RNA from 1 species
CAACUUGCAGCUUAAUUGAUAAUAAUAUACUUGAAAAGUUUAUUAUACGUAGAAGCACUGCAGAUUGAUAGUCAAUCUCAAACAUCAUUCUUCCGUUGAUGAAUCAUGUUUGUGAAGUCAGUGUUGAAAUCAGAAUAUAUAGACGAAACCUUUGAUAUGUUUCCAUUGAGUUCUUGAAUUAAGCUCACGUUCUGCACCAUGCUAUCGUGUGUUCUCGAUUGAUGAUUCUCGUUAACUUGUUGAAUCAACAAUCUAUUUCGAUCCAACACAGACUGCACUUGCCUAAAAUUGUUGGAAAAAUUGUUCCACAUCUCAGAAGAAUCACCUUCCUCCAUGUUAAAAUCCACGGUAGAGUUGUCACGAACGCGAUGGCGAUUAUUAUUUAUCUUACGAGAGUUUGAUUUGGUUAUGGUUUGACGAUGGCGAUUGAAG